CCUUGAAGAUCGGAGUGCUUGCACUCUGUGAAACAAGAUACAGGCUAGCGGCGGACGGGUGAGUAACACGUGGGUAACCUGCCCAAGAGAUCGGGAUAACACCUGGAAACAGAUGCUAAUACCGGAUAACAACAGAUGAUGCCUAUCAACUGUUUAAAAGAUGGUUCUGCUAUCACUCUUGGAUGGACCUGCGGUGCAUUAGCUAGUUGGUAGGGUAACGGCCUACCAAGGCGAUGAUGCAUAGCCGAGUUGAGAGACUGAUCGGCCACACUGGGACUGAGACACGGCCCAAACUCCUACGGGAGGCAGCAGUAGGGAAUCUUCCACAAUGGACGCAAGUCUGAUGGAGCAACGCCGCGUGAGUGAAGAAGGGUUUCGGCUCGUAAAGCUCUGUUGUUGGUGAAGUAGGACGGGGGUAGUAACUGACCUUUGUUUGACGGUAAUCAAUUAGAAAGUCACGGCUAACUACGUGCCAGCAGCCGCGGUAAUACGUAGGUGGCAAGCGUUGUCCGGAUUUAUUGGGCGUAAAGCGAGUGCAGGCGGUUUGAUAAGUCUGAUGUGAAAGCCUUCGGCUCAACCGGAGAAUUGCAUCAGAAACUGUCGAGCUUGAGUACAGAAGAGGAGAGUGGAACUCCAUGUGUAGCGGUGAAAUGCGUAGAUAUAUGGAAGAACACCGGUGGCGAAGGCGGCUCUCUGGUCUGUUACUGACGAUGAGGCUCGAAAGCAUGGGUAGCGAACAGGAUUAGAUACCCUGGUAGUCCAUGCCGUAAACGAUGAGUGCUAAGUGUUGGGAGGUUUCCGCCUCUCAGUGCUGCAGCUA
rnacentral:rRNA from 1 species